rnacentral:ncRNA from 2 species
AGGUAAGAUAGAGGUAGCAGUAAUUAAGAGUAGUAUUGAUAAGGUAAGCACGAUGACUCAAUAUGAAAGGGAUUAUUGCCGAAGUAUAUUUCUAACGCUUUAAGGGAAUAUGCUGGUUUUGUACAUAAUAUGUGCAAGACUGUCACAAUAGUAUUGUGGAGAGCUAUCUUUGUG